rnacentral:rRNA from 1 species
ACGAACGCUGGCGGCGUGCUUAACACCUGCAAGUCGCACGGAAAGGCCCUGCUUUUGUGGGGUGCUCGAGUGGCGAACGGGUGAGUAACACGUGAGUAACCUGCCCUUGACUUUGGGAUAACUUCAGGAAACUGGGGCUAAUACCGGAUAGGAGCUCCUGCUGCAUGGUGGUGGUUGGAAAGUUUCGGCGGUUGGGGAUGGACUCGCGGCUUAUCAGCUUGUUGGUGGGGUAGUGGCUUACCAAGGCUUUGACGGGUAGCCGGCCUGAGAGGGUGACCGGCCACAUUGGGACUGAGAUACGGCCCAGACUCCUACGGGAGGCAGCAGUGGGGAAUAUUGCACAAUGGGCGGAAGCCUGAUGCAGCAACGCCGCGUGCGGGAUGACGGCCUUCGGGUUGUAAACCGCUUUCGCCUGUGACGAAGCGUGAGUGACGGUAAUGGGUAAAGAAGCACCGGCUAACUACGUG